ACAAAGCCGCGAGGCAGNGCAAAACCCUAAAAAAUCGUCUCAGUUCAGAUUGCAGGCUGCAACUCGCCUGCAUGAAGUCGGAAUUGCUAGUAAUCGCAGAUCAGCAUGCUGCGGUGAAUACGUUCCCGGGCCUUGUACACACCGCCCGUCACACCAUGGGAGUCGGUAACACCCGAAGUCGGUAGCCUAACCGUAAGGAGGGCGCCGCCGAAGGUGGGAUUGAUGACUGGGGUGAAGUCGUAACAAGGUAAC
rnacentral:rRNA from 1 species